rnacentral:rRNA from 1 species
UACGAAGGGGGCUAGCGUUGUUCGGAAUUACUGGGCGUAAAGCGCACGUAGGCGGAUACUUAAGUUAGGGGUGAAAUCCCGGGGCUCAACCCCGGAACUGCCUUUAAUACUGGGUAUCUCGAGUUCGAGAGAGGUGAGUGGAAUUCCGAGUGUAGAGGUGAAAUUCGUAGAUAUUCGGAAGAACACCAGUGGCGAAGGCGACACACUGGCCCGUUACUGACGCUGAGGCGCGAAAGCGUGGGGAGCAAACAGG